GAUGAACGCUGGCGGCGUGCCUAAUACAUGCAAGUCGGGCGAAUGGGUUGAGAGCUUGCUCUUAUGAAGUUAGCGGCGGACGGGUGAGUAACACGUGGGUAACCUGCCCAUAAGACUGGGAUAACUCCGGGAAACCGGGGCUAAUACCGGAUAACAUUUUGAACCGCCUGGUUCGAAAUUGAAAGGCGGCUUCGGCUGUCACUUAUGGAUGGACCCGCGUCGCAUUAGCUAGUUGGUGAGGUAACGGCUCACCAAGGCAACGAUGCGUAGCCGACCUGAGAGGGUGAUCGGCCACACUGGGACUGAGACACGGCCCAGACUCCUACGGGAGGCAGCAGUAGGGAAUCUUCCGCAAUGGACGAAAGUCUGACGGAGCAACGCCGCGUGAGUGAUGAAGGCUUUCGGGUCGUAAAACUCUGUUGUUAGGGAAGAACAAGUGCUAGUUGAAUAAGCUGGCACCUUGACGGUACCUAACCAGAAAGCCACGGCUUACUACGUGCCAGCCGCCGCGGUAA
rnacentral:rRNA from 1 species